CCGUAGGUGAACCUGCGGAAGGAUCAUUAAUAGGUCUUCAAGUGGACAUUACACUUGACCCACACACACUGUGAACCGUGGCUUCGGCCCAAACUUUACCAGUAUUGAAUGUAUAACAUGAUAACAAAAAACAACUUUCAACAACGGAUCUCUUGGCUCUCGCAUCGAUGAAGAACGCAGCGAAAUGCGAUAAGUAAUGUGAAUUGCAGAAUUCAGUGAAUCAUCGAAUCUUUGAACGCACCUUGCGCCUUCUGGUAUUCCGGAAGGCAUGCCUGUUUGAGUGUCAUGAACACCUCACCCCCUCGGGUUUCCGAUCGGGUGGACUUGGGCGCCUGCCAUUCACUUGGCUCGCCUUAAAUGCAUUAGCGGUCGUUGACGUAAUAAGUUUCGUCUGGCUGGCCGCUGACAAUCUCCCUUGACCGGGAUGUCUCGCAAGAGACACUUUCAUGAUCUGACCUCAAAUCAGGUAGGACUACCCGCUGAACUUAAGCAUAUCAA
rnacentral:rRNA from 1 species